rnacentral:rRNA from 1 species
CACGCAGGCGGUCAUAAAAGUCAGCUGUUAAAUGUAUGGGCUUAACCGAUGCAUGCGGUUGAAACUAUAUGACUGGAGUACUGGAGAGGUAAGCGGAAUUCCCGGUGUAGCGGUGAAAUGCGUAGAUAUCGGGAAGAACACCAGUGGCGAAGGCGGCUUACUGGCCAGUUACUGACGCUGAGGUGCGAAAGCCAGGGGAGCGAACC